UUCAGACCUGGGGCAAGACAGAUGCUCUGGGCCCUCCUACAGAGGGGCAGGGGGUGACUUCUGCACCUUUCUCAAGCUGGUUUGCUGAAAGGACUGUUCCAAGUCUUCCCCAGGGAGUAGGAAGAAGGACACCCAUGCACUUAGUAAACAUUAUUGGUAGCAGAGCUCUGGGCUGGUCGAGUGACCUUGGGCAGUCUGUAGCUUUCCCUCUGCUUCAACUUCCCUUAGCAACACACAGACUUGCUUAUAAGUAUACAUCACAAAGCCCCCUGAAUAAAGAAGAGCCAGCAGCUUGCUCAUGAAUGGAGAGGUGCUAAGUCAGGGUCCUAAGCCAGGCUGUGGUAUUUAAAUGUAGCAUGGAAGCUUCCAGCCAGAGCUCCAGAGCACCAUUUAGUUGGGCUGCAGCAAGCUUCUGUUUAUCCCACCUGCUGAGCAGCCAGAGCAAAAUACUGCUUGGGAGUUAGGACAGGUGCUGAAGACACAAAAGGGCCCUCACACACUUGCACACAGGACUGAGAGCACAUGGACUCCCGGGAAGGACAGGGAGGUGCAAUUUCAGCCCCCUCGCCCCUCACUCUAGCUUCAGCAAAACCCCACUAGGUAAAGUGCUGAACACUAAGGAAAUCAGAAUCCUCCUGUGCAUGUGUCGCCACGUAGUGGUCUUUUAUGGUCCUGGUGUGGCAAGAGAGGUCCUCAGCGUGGUAUGCAGGAGUGCUGGCAAGUGACAAGGCACGUAAAGCCCAAAGCACAACAGCUUUUGGGGCUGGGUGGUACUGAGGUCACUCAGUAGAACAAAGCUGCCUAGUUGUCCACUCUGAAUUCCCAUUCUAGGUGUCAUCUGUUCUUUGUGCCCAAGCUGUUCUUCACCUCCUCAGGAGCUGAUGGUCCAGAUUACUUAUGGGAACUUAUCCUGAAAGGUCACUCUUAGGUUACGCAGAGCCCCAAGUCAGAGCUGAUCUAGGGUGUGGGGAUCCAAAUUUAAUCUUCUAAACCACCGGUUCUCAACCUUAUCUGAACAUUAGAAUCCCCUGAAGAGAUUCUAAGUUCUUUUAAAAACAUUUUUUUAUUACUGAAAAAACUCAGAUUUGAGAAAUUUGAAACACUGGAACUAGAGAAUAGUUACGAACUCCCAUAUACCGACCAUCCAGAUUUAGUAAUUAUCAAAACAGAUCUGCUCCAUCUAUCCCCCUUUUCUUUGCUGACGUAUUUUAAAGCAUACCCCAGACAUGAUGUCACCUCACCUUUCCAUACUUCAGUGAGGAGGAACACAAGCAGUGGGGA